UGGCACCUGCCCUUGGAUGCUACUGGAGACAAGAGCCAUGAGCAGCAAGGGUUGUUGGGCUCCUGUUGAAGUCACUGUGCCUGAUUAUGCAGUGUUCCUCUUGGCUGCUGUGAGCUGUCACUGAACAUGAGACAUCAGUGCCACAAGAAAAACAACUGCAGAGAAUCACAGAAGGCGUUGGAUUGGCAGGGACCUUAAAGAUCACCUUGUUCCAACCCCCCACCCUGGGCAGGGACAUCUUCCACUAGACCAGGUUGCUCAAGCUUUUAUUCAACCUGGCCUUGGACACUUCAAGGGGUGGAGCAUCCCCAACUUCUCCAGGAAACCCGUUCCAGUGUCUCACCACUCUCACAAUAAAUUUUUCCCAGUGAUAUCCAAGCCAAGUCUCCUCUUCUUUCAGUUUGAACUCUUCUCCCUUGUUCUGUCACUACCUGCCCUUGGAAAAAGUCCCUCUCCAGCUCUCUUGUAGCCCUCUUUAGCUACUCAGAGGCUGUUAGAAGGUCUCCUCAGAACCUGUUCUCCUCAAGGCCAAAAAAUCCCAAGUCUCUCAGUCUGUUCUCCUAGGAGAGGUGCUCCACCCCUCUGAUCAUUUUCAUGGCUAUCACUGUUGGGUAAGAACUGGCACAGACUCACCACAAGGCUGGUUUGCACAUCUUUACUUCAGAUCUUCUUUUAUACGUUGUUCCAAUACAGAUAGACCUGACUGGUCAAUUAAUCAGUACAUUUCACCUGACUGGCUAAUUAACAAAACACCUUUCUUAUAGACAGUCUUUGAGGAAAACAGAAAGUAGGAAAACACCUGCAGGUUGUUUACAAUAAUAAACUACCAUUGUCUAUCUUCA
rnacentral:lncRNA from 1 species